GACGAACGCUGGCGGCGUGCUUAACACAUGCAAGUCGAACGGAAAGGCCCUGCUUUUGUGGGGUGCUCGAGUGGCGAACGGGUGAGUAACACGUGAGUAACCUGCCCUUGACUUUGGGAUAACUUCAGGAAACUGGGGCUAAUACCGGAUAGGAGCUCCUGCUGCAUGGUGGGGGUUGGAAAGUUUCGGCGGUUGGGGAUGGACUCGCGGCUUAUCAGCUUGUUGGUGGGGUAGUGGCUUACCAAGGCUUUGACGGGUAGCCGGCCUGAGAGGGUGACCGGCCACAUUGGGACUGAGAGACGGCCCAGACUCCUACGGGAGGCAGCAGUGGGGAAUAUUGCACAAUGGGCGGAAGCCCGAUGCAGCAACGCCGCGUGCGGGAUGACGGCCUUCGGGUUGUAAACCGCUUUCGCCUGUGACGAAGCGUGAGUGACGGUAAUGGGUAAAGAAGCACCGGCUAACUACGUG
rnacentral:rRNA from 1 species